rnacentral:rRNA from 1 species
AACGAACGCUGGCGGCGUGCCUAACACACGCAAGUCGAGCGCGAAAAGGGCAACCUGAGUAGAGCGGCGCACGGGUGCGUAACACGUGGGUAAUCUGCCUUAGAGUCGAGGAUAACCUUCCGAAAGGUUGGCUAAUACUCGGUAAGCUUACGGUGUCUUCGGACGCUGUGGGAAAAGUAGGCCUCUGUUUACAAGCUUACGCUCUGAGAUGAGCCCGCGGCCCAUCAGCUAGUUGGCGGUGUAACGGACCACCAAGGCAACGACGGGUAGCUGGUCUGAGAGGACGAUCAGCCACACUGGAACUGAGACACGGUCCAGACUCCUACGGGAGGCAGCAGUGGGGAAUUUUCCACAAUGGGCGAAAGCCUGAUGGAGCAACGCAGCGUGUGUGAUGAAGGUUUUCGGAUCGUAAAGCACUUUCGACCGGGACGAAAAACCUCUGGCUAACAUCCAGGGGCCUGACGGUACCGGGAGAAGAAGCACCGGCUAACUCUGUGCCAGCAGCCGCAGUAA